rnacentral:miRNA from 2 species
CGGCUUUUAUUGCGCUCUGAGA